AUUGAACGCUGGCGGCAGGCCUAACACAUGCAAGUCGAGCGGAUGAAGGGAGCUUGCUCCUGGAUUCAGCGGCGGACGGGUGAGUAAUGCCUAGGAAUCUGCCUGGUAGUGGGGGAUAACGUCCGGAAACGGGCGCUAAUACCGCAUACGUCCUGAGGGAGAAAGUGGGGGAUCUUCGGACCUCACGCUAUCAGAUGAGCCUAGGUCGGAUUAGCUAGUUGGUGGGGUAAAGGCCUACCAAGGCGACGACCCGUAACUGGUCUGAGAGGAUGAUCAGUCACACUGAGACUGAGACACGGUCCAGACUCCUACGGGAGGCAGCAGUGGGGAAUAUUGGACGAUGGGCGAAAGCCUGAUCCAGCCAUGCCGCGUGUGUGAAGAAGGUCUUCGGAUUGUAAAGCACUUUAAGUUGGGAGGAAGGGCAGUAAGUUAAUACCUUGCUGUUUUGACGUUACCAACAGAAUAAGCACCGGCUAACUUCGUG
rnacentral:rRNA from 1 species